UACGGAGGGGGCUAGCGUUGUUCGGAAUUACUGGGCGUAAAGCGCGCGUAGGCGGAUCAGAAAGUUGGGGGUGAAAUCCCAGGGCUCAACCCUGGAACUGCCUUCAAAACUCCUGAUCUAGAGUUCGAGAGAGGUGAGUGGAAUUCCGAGUGUAGAGGUGAAAUUCGUAGAUAUUCGGAGGAACACCAGUGGCGAAGGCGGCUCACUGGCUCGAUACUGACGCUGAGGUGCGAAAGCGUGGGGAGCAAACAGG
rnacentral:rRNA from 1 species